rnacentral:rRNA from 1 species
CCUACAGAAUAAAUUAUAACAUUAAUGCACCAGAUCCCAUUAGAAAUAUGUAUUUAAGUGUGCUUAGGCUAGAGUAGUACUAGGAUGGGUGAGUUCCUAGGAAGUCCUAGUUUUUUACAUGC